rnacentral:other from 1 species
GUUUGCCUGCCUUGUUUGUGAUAGGAGUUAAAACUUAUUCCGACAUUCGAGAAUCCGGGAGCCAGCGAACCGCAAGUGUUGUGCGCCCUGAAAUUUUGGGGAUUAAGCCUGAUCUUGCACUCAAGGCGCCCACCUGUUUAACAGGGAUUCAAGUUUUAUUCUACACGGCAAGGUGGGUUUCCU